rnacentral:misc_RNA from 1 species
UGAUUACUUUGAUUUUGACCCAAAAAAGAGAAAUCAGUCGUCUUUAUCUAUUCUACAAUAAAUUUUACAGCUCAAUCAUUUGUAGGCCAGCAUCAGGUCACCGGACGCAGAGCAUCUCGAGGACCCCGUAACAAGAAUCUUUUGGAAGGUGAAUUAGCAAUUCAAUAUGCUAAAAACUAUUCCGCUAGAAUGUCUUACAAGUAAUUCAGACAGGACGCAACUUCUGCGCAGUUAACUUUAUCUCCUUGAUCCUUUCAUCCACCAAUUGUUGCAUUUGCUCUUUCUGAUUUGUUUAAUUUUCAACCAUCUGAAGACUACUAAAUUUCCCAUUCCCUGAUCUAAACAUGGCAAAUGACAUCUCUGGAUUAUAAUCACUUGAGACUUCAAUCACCUGUUUUCCACCACCUCCUGAAUCUUUCCCUAAGAUAUCAGCUUUUACACGAUUUGAAAUGAUUGUCACAAAAUCCUUAAUGCAUUUGUCAGCAGGAUCAAGGCCUAGAUAAAUUAAAACCUCCCAACACUGAAGAAACUGUUUCCUGUUGAUUUUCAAUGUUUUCCUAACAUCCUCAAUUGCAGUUGAAGGUGGCAUGAAUCGAGGGACAUGAGUUUUCUUUGAUAGCUUUCCUUGUUUCAGAUUUGAAACAGCUGAAUUAAUUGCAUCCUGCAUUGGAUUAAAAACAAGCAGUCAUUGUACGUCAAUACAGGUGCGCACAUGUUGGAAGUAAUCCAAUGGUUCUUCAACUGUUAAGUCAUAAACAUCUUCAGAUAUUGCAACAUUGUUGACCACCUCAACAAGGUGACGACCAUAACCCUUGUGUUGGUAAGGAGGCAAAACCAAUAUCUGUUAUCAAAGAAACAUCUCAUCCAACUACUUUGAUGAGUGAAGUGUAUGUGCACAAAAACAGUCAAAAGUGCUUGUACACAAUUAUAAUUUUUGUUCUCUCAGCAUGUCAAACAACUGAAGUAAAAAGAUGGAGGAAAAUGAACCUGACUGAGUCGUAAUCAUGUUUUAUCAAGGUAAUGAUAGAAGCGAUAAACUGCUGUAAAACCCAGCAGUCUUUGUUGAAUGUCCCCCUGCUCAUCAUUCAUCUCCUGAACCAAUACAUGUAACUCCCAUCCUGGAUCAGUCACAUCAAUAGGAUUGCUAGCUGACUAAGAAAAAAAGAUUUUUCAAAAACGGAAUUUUCUGCCAGGCAGCAAGAAAGUAAUGCAAUAAAGAUUUCCUUAGAUAAGCCGAGGAUAUUACCAUCAACAAGAAGAAGAACAAGAGGUAUUAAGCGACUGUACAGGUGUCCAGUACCUGCAUUUCCUAUCACCAUGCGAACAACCUAACCCAGUAGGAGAGCACAUUAACCAUUGCACUGUCUCAAACAUACAAACUCUACAGACUGAACAUAUAAAGAGGAAAGCUAAGGGAGGAAAAAAGGAAAAGAAAAAGAAAUGAGUAGAAAACAGAUUAAAUUGUGUCAACAUCCCCACCACAAACACAACACCUUUUCUUACCUAAAAAAUAAAUAGAAUUCAGAAAAUGCAAAAAUUAAGUGAAAAUGAAGAAUUCACAAUUGUUUAGAAAGCACAGGAAUAGGGAUUCUUAAAGAACACUCUACUCCCAGGUACCAAAAACAGCACUUUUUUAGCUUUAGCGGAGCACUAGUGGCCUAACAAAAUUAUGCAGGGUAAGAUUUAUCACUAAUUAUCCCUAAAUAUCAUCCCCAUCAAACUCUAACCCCUAAUUCCCAAUUUUAUAAGGGGGUUGAGGGGCUCAAGCUUCCCCUUUGUCAUGAUCUUGCUGCAGCCUAUUUCAAUUCUUCAAUGUCUGGGAAGGUGGUCCAAAGAAACAUCACCUAAGCUUCAAAAAUUAGGAGACUCCUUCAACCAAUGCAAACAAAAUGCCAAACAAGCAAAUACCAUUUUCAUCAUACGUGAAGGUAUAAAGACAAAGUACAUAAAAAGAACCUUCACAUCCGAAGUAGCUGCCCCGUUAUGAGUAUGACUAACAGAAUCAUGGAUAUGUUCGUUGGAACCUUUCUGUUGCAGUAUCUCCCCAGUUGAGACAAUGGAUCUGAGAACAUUUAAAGCAUUGAAAAUAUACAUUAUAGAGUCUUGAUGAUUAGAUGUGUAAAGCAUAUCCAUAAAAUAGUACCUAAUCAAAUGACUCUCGAAUGAAAAUGAUUUUAGAAAGUCGUCUUUACUCUCCACAAGUGUCUCAGCAAAAAUCCU